ensembl:lncRNA
GUUCUGUAGCCUAGGUUCUGUAUCCUAUGGUCUGUAGCCUAGGGUCUGUAUCCUAUGGUCUGUAGCCUAGGGUCUAUAUCCUAGGGUCUGUAGCCUAGGGUCUGUAGCCUAGGGUCUAUAUCCUAGGGUCUGUAGCCUAGGGUCUGUAGCCUAGUGUCUAUAUCCUAGGGUCUAUAUCCUAGGGUCUAUAUCCUAGGGUCUAUAUCCUAGGGUCUAUAUCCUAUGGUCUAUAUCCUAGGGUCUAUAUCCUAGGGUCUGUAGCCUAGGGUCUGUAUCAGAGGUCAAACGAUUAUGAUUUUUCAAUACCGUUACCGAUUAUUGGAGGACCAAAAAAGCCGGUGCCGAUUAAUCAGCUGAUUUUUUAAAUUUUUUUUAAACUUUUUUAAACUUUUUUUUUUUUAACUUUUUUUUUUUUGUAAUAAUGACAAUUACAACAAUACUGAAUUAACACUUAUUUUAACUUGAUAUAUCAAUAAAAUCAAUUUAGCCUCAAAUAAAUAAACAUGUUCAAUUGGGUUUCAAUAAUGCAAUAACAAAGUGUUGGAGAAGAAAGUAAUAUAUGCCAUGUAAAAAAGCUAACGUUUAAGUUCCUUGCUCAGAACAUGAGAACAUAUGAAAGCUGGUGGUUCCUUUUAACAUGAGACUUCAAUAUUCCAAGGUAAGAGGUUUUAGGUUGUAGUUAAUAUAGUAUUUAUAGGACUAUUUCUCUCUAUACCAUUUGUAUUUCAUAUACCUUUGACUAUUGGAUGUUCUUAUAGGCACUAUAGUAUUGCCAGUGUAACAGUAUAGCUUCCGUCCCCCUCCUCGCCCCUACCUGGGCUCGAACCAGGAACACAUAGACAACAGCCACACUCGAAGCAUCGUUACCCAUCGCUCCAAAAAAGCCGCAGCCCUUGCAGCGCAAGGGGAAUAACUACUCCAAAUCUAAAAGCGAGUGACGCUUGAAACAGUAUUAGCGCACACCAAGCUAACUAGCUAGCCAUUUCACAUCGGUUACACCAGCCAUUAGGCUGAUAGGCUUGAAGUCAUAAACAGCGCUGUGCUUGCGAAGAGCUGCUGGCAAAACGCACGAAAGUGCUGUUUGAAUGAAUGAUUACGGGCCUGCUGCUGCUCAGUCAGACUGCUCUAUCAAAUCAGACUUAAUUAUAACAUAAUAACACACAGAAAUACGAGCCUUUGGUCAUUAAUAUGAUAGAAUGUCAGGGUGUUAUAUCAUGUUGUUAUGUCAGGGGUUAUGUCAGGGUGUAAUGUCAGGGUGUAAUGUCAGGGUGUUAUGUCAGGGUGUUAUGUCAGGGGGUAAUGUCAGGGGGUUAUAUCAGGGUGUAAUGUCAGGGUGUAAUGUCAGGGUGUAAUGUCAGGGUGUUAUGUCAGGGGGUUAUGUCAGGGGGUUAUUUCAGGGUGUUAUUUCAGGAUGUGGUUGCA